CCCGGGCAUCUUUUUGAGGUACUAAUUUCAUUACAGAUACAGCAACGUACAAAUUGCUUCGUGGGCACAGGGGGCCUGAACUGAGCGGCUUUGAGUAGCCAGAGACUGGUGCACAUAAGGUUCCUGCUGCAGGGCUCUGCUUACAUGUCCCACAAGCGUGGAGCUGACGUGUCUUCCUUUGUGGCUGGUGAAGAACUUUUAGACGUCUGGCACUCGGCUUCUCACACUGCGUAAAGUUACUUCCUGCUGAUCUUCCUAUUCCGACAUAAUUAGAUCACAUCCACAUUAGAAGCCGUUGUGGACAUUUAGUUGUGCCAAAGUCCAGAAUUACAGGCACUGCUUUUGCUUUGGGCCUGAAUCAGUUCCUUAAUUUAGAGCUGUUCAUUGAAGCCACUGGGAGAUUGCCCAGGACUUUGGUGGGACGGGGAUCACAGCCUUCAGAGGGAGUGCCUGGCUUACGAGGGUCAGGUGUCGUGAAGUCAAUUCUUUGUGUUAGGAAAGUUGUAAUUUCCUUUUAAAGCUGGGUGAGUCAUUGAGUCGUGGCUGCGAACAAUCCCACAGGAUUUCCUUAGAUUUGUGAUACCUGAAGGUAAGCUUGGAAUGGCGCCCCUGGAAAAAGUCUUCGUUCAGGGACCUGAUCCAUCUCAUUUUGAAGUCAGUGACUAAACUUUUGUUUACUACUGUGAUGCAGAUCAAGACAGUUGCAUAAUCAUGGGGGCCUGAUCCUGCAUCAGGCUCCAGUAAAACAGUUAAAGGGCUACCAGAAAAGACUCUGUUGACAGGUGGAAUACGUAGUCAUAAAGAAUUCAUAAAGCUCGACGACCUCAUUUCACAGCAAAGAGGAUACAGAAGCCCUUUGUUUCUGUAGAUUUUUAUAAAAGCAGUUUUGCUCCUCGAAAUUACGCAUUAAAAUUAAUUUGCUGUAGCUUUAGGUAUAAUUCUGGCCACACUGAGUGAAAGAGGGAAAAUUUCAUCCACUUGGAUAGUCCUUUAUCUGGGAGUUAAGCUUCCCUGCUGCAAGGAGAAGGACAUAUCGCUGCAGUCAAUCACGGAUGAGUGAGCUUUUAGAUAAGGCCUUUCCUAUAAUACACCCACAACACUUCAUUUUCCUCUUGCAGCACCGGGACUGACCUCCCCACUUGGAUGAGUGUCAUGGAUGCAGAGAUAGGGACCGUGCCGUGCUGCUUGGCUGACACGCAUUUCGGAGCAACACAUUCCAGCAGAUGAACCCAUUUGCACACAUUUUCAAACACCCUGGAGAUGAUUUGCUCUUCGAUUGCUCCUGACGUCAGGCUGUGAGUCAUGGACCACUCCAUGUGUGGUGAAGGACAUCCCCGACCUGUGGCACUGGGGCAGCUUGGUGAAGACCCAAAAGAAAAAGAGCCUGACUGUAGAACUGGACCCUUAAAACCAACUGAUUUCUUUGAAGGGACUUAUUCGGAAGAAAGUUAAUAAAAACUGCAUGGAAAAACCAGCAUCACAGCUAUUUUUUUUUUUCUGCCUGAAAUUCCUACAGGGAAGUUAGCUGAAUGCAAAAAGUAUGGAGAAAGAGAGAAACAUUCCAUUGGUCCUUAAAGCCCAAAGGAGUGAUUCCUUCAGUGCUGCCAUUCCAGUGGAGAUUGCAGCAAGGUCUCCUUCCAUACCAGUUGCUGCCCUGGUGUAGAUCCUCUGGCACCGAUUCCUGUCCCUGGGAGUUGCCCCAGCUUGAUGCCUGCAGGGAUGAGGUAAGAACUGCACUUCAGUCCUGUGCUUGCUCACUGGGCUGCCAAACAUGCACACUUCACUGGGCUCUGGAGAACACUGCUGUUGUGGGAAUGUGAUCCACCUGACUAGGUAGGCCAGCAGCUGUGGGAUUGUCCAUCUGCUGGUCCUCCAGAUUAAACAUUAGCCCUCAUGUCUCCUCUACAGCAAGGAAUUUUCUCCAAAUAAGCUUCGUAAAGAACAUUUCUUCCUUCUCUUCUACACCAGCAAUACUGUGAGACAGGUGAUCCAGGUGGGCAGGGGGGGAACUUAAGCACACAACUAUCAAAAAAUAGAGCUUAUUCUUUGGGUGGAUUUUUAAAUGUAGUUGCUCUUCAGUGGUGAAUGAAACAAAGCACACAGUUACAGCAAGAUGACUACACAGUGUUAGAAGGGGAAUCCUGUCACAUCUACAGGGUGAAGGCUUCUGGGCUGUGAGCUGGUGAGAUCUCCCCAGGAGGCAAAUGCUUCGCAGAGAACCUCUUCCACGAGAAAUCUUUUAGCUUCUUAUGGCUUUGUUGCUACUUCUGCUCUACACUGACCAUAAAUAUUUAUUUAUCAAUGCUGCUAGAAUUUUUAAUUUCUGUAGAUGGGGAUGUUUGAGCUGACUGGGGGGGGGGGGGGGGGUUGUGUUCCAGCUGACAUAGAGAGAAAUAUUUGAAAUAGAUUUAAGAAAUAGACUCAUUGUUAAUUUGUUUCUUUAGGGCUCCAUUUUCCUCAUGCAAGUUAUUCGUAGCUCCCACUGAAGCCAAUAAUUUCCUAGUCCUUCAAGGCAGGAAAGGCACUGAAGUCAAUAGGGAUUAGUUGUAUCCUGCAGUGGGGGAAUAAGCCUCCUGGGAAACUGUGGAUCUCCUGUUUGCCAUAAGCAAUCCAUAACUGCAUUGUCAGUAGUAAGUCAUUCCAGGAUUUGUAGGAAUCACUGUUAUUAUUUAAGUGUACCUGUGCUUUCAUUCUCACUUCUUUCUGAUAUAAAAGUAACUGAUGCAAGUUAUGAAAUUGCCUUAAUAUAUAGAUUUCUGCUGACACUCAGUUUAUGGCUUAUCUUUAAUUGCCUCUAUUAAAGCACUUGUUGCCCUGAGAUUCAGUGCUGUGUCCAGGCCUGCUGCACAUCUCCUCUCCUCAGAAUUUCACCCAUUGCUCGUGAGAAUUUCAACUUCUGGAUAAAUAAAUAUUUUGGGUCAGGUCUUAAAAACACAGAAGUCCUUAUUCAUAUGUUGUUUUUGGAACGUGCCCAUGUCUUAGUGGAACUCUCAUACCACAAUAGCUGAUGGAAGAAAUAGAGAAAUGUAACUUCAUGUCUCAGCUUCGAGGGUCAGAGGGGAGGGGAGGGGAUGGGAGAAGGAGUCGACAGAUCCAGUGACUGAGCUUUUCUCUGCAGGGGAAUAAAAAGGGUUUAGCAGUGACAGAAAGUAGAACAAGCACAGUGUCAAAUGCAUCUUCCAAAGAGAGCGAAAAAUCAGAUCAGGCUAAAACAAACUUAUGUGGCAGCUCAGGGGGAGCUGCAACUAGCUGAACUCCCCCCCUCCUGUCCCUCUUGGCCUUUUGUUCUAGGAACAGAUGUCCCUUCUCCCCCAACUGUCUUCUAGUUUCAGAAUUAAGAACUUGGGCUCUGAACUUUUAAUUCGUGAUUGCCUUCGUAAGCUUCUCUAUUCCUGGAUUUUGAGAUUCUUUGUUAUUCUUCUAAUUAUCAAUCCCUUCCUGUAUUGCUUGUGUAAAAGAAUAAAAAAAGACUGGGCUUUGCUGA